UACGAAGGGGGCUAGCGUUGCUCGGAAUCACUGGGCGUAAAGCGCACGUAGGCGGAUUGUUAAGUCAGGGGUGAAAUCCUGGAGCUCAACUCCAGAACUGCCUUUGAUACUGGCGGAUCUCGAGUCCGGGAGAGGUGAGUGGAACUGCGAGUGUAGAGGUGAAAUUCGUAGAUAUUCGCAAGAACACCAGUGGCGAAGGCGGCUCACUGGCCCGGUACUGACGCUGAGGUGCGAAAGCGUGGGGAGCAAACAGG
rnacentral:rRNA from 1 species